rnacentral:lncRNA from 1 species
UGUCAAACGUGAACAACGCACGCAAAGAUAUUAUUCUACGCUUCGAAUUCUGAACGUCUUCGAUGAGUGACUGCGGUGGAAACGAUUGCGGUGGCGACGAUUGCGGUGGCGGCGAUAUGGGUGGAGGUGACUAUGGUGCUGGUGGCGGUGAUUACGGUGACGGUAAUUGCGAUGACGGCUGUGGAUGCGAAUUUGGAAACGAAAACGGAUCGAGCCGGAGGACGUGCUGGAAGAUUUUAUGUUUUGGUGUUGCAAUUAUCGUUACAGUUAUAUUGAUAGUGGUUAUGGUCACAAUCUUCAUUCGUUGAUACGUAUCUGAAAUUGUUACUUGUGUUUCUUUGGGUUCACUUCGUUCAUCUAAUAAGAAAAAUAGCCUCAAAAACGAAUCAAGGCAGACACGUUACCUGAGAUUUUCUAGAUUUUUUCUCUCAGCUCUUAAAAAAGGUGAACGUAUGUAUAAUAUACGGGAAAAUGCAACAGCAGAUAAGUUCACGUAUCGAUUUUUAUUAAAAAUGUGGGGGGAGGGAGGGAGGCCGACAGGUUUUUCAAAUGAGACCCCGAUGAGAGACCCCGCGGCAUGAAGCUUCUUGACCAUCAGGGUCAAACGCCAUUGUAAGUUAAAGAGUAAUGAUAUGAUAUAAUAUUAUUGUUUAUUGAGCGUUUAAUCAGCAAUCAGCAUUAUCACAUAGCUCGGAAUUUGUGACGGCAAAUAAAGCCAUUUAUCUACAGAUAAAAUAAUUAAUUUUUACAUUUUGGCUGUGCUUGAAAUUGAAUCGGUAUAAGUUAAAAAUGAAAGCCCCGUCAGCUGAGGUAAGAUUGUCCCUUUAAGGAAAAAUUAGCCCAAUUUUAGUCAAAGUUUGUGGGGAUGUGGAGCUGUUGAGCAUCACUAGCUGGAUAGGUAGCAGCACUGACUUGACUGUUGAUGAUGUUUAGGUUUUGUUCAAUAUAUCUCGGCCACUCCAGCCCUACUCAAUGCUCACAGUAGGGAAGUCGUAAAAUUGGAUUACACCGAGCUUUUACUCGUAAACACUGAUUAUUGAAGAGCUCGUGAAUGUCAGUCAAGUGUGUAAUAUACAAUUAUCAUUAUUUCAAGUAUUUUUGGUGCAGUAAGGCUGUUACAUGUGUUAUUCACAGAAUACUACUACUUCACAAUUUCCUGACUGCUUCACCCUGAAUGAAGCAAAUCAUAUUUAUAUCAACAAAGUUACGAAUAAUGAAAACAAAAAAGUGCAACUUAUCUUCAAAUGAAAAUUAUUUGAGAGACUGAUGGUAACGCUUCUACUUCUUGAGGUGAUAUUAGAGACUGAUUUGAAAAACGAAACCUCUUCUUAUCUGGAAGAAGAAAUAUAAGAAGAAGCAGGCGCCUGGCUGUCCAAAGCUAGCUUACCGAAUAAGGAAGAAAUACAAGU